rnacentral:snoRNA from 1 species
AUCCCAUGAUGUGGACACUUUCGUAGCAUGUUUUUAAAUCUAUCCUAGGCUUCAUCAAAAGACUCAGAUUCACCUUGACGGAAGACAGAUAUGUCAUGCUUGAGCUU